GACGAACGCUGGCGGCGUGCCUAAUACAUGCAAGUCGAGCGGACUUGACAGAGCUUGCUCUGUUCAAGUUAGCGGCGGACGGGUGAGUAACACGUGGGCAACCUGCCCUGCAGAUUGGGAUAACUCCGGGAAACCGGGGCUAAUACCGAAUAACAUUGGAAACCUCAUGGUUUCCUUUUAAAAGGCGGCUUCGGCUGUCACUGCAGGAUGGGCCCGCGGCGCAUUAGCUAGUUGGUGAGGUAACGGCUCACCAAGGCGACGAUGCGUAGCCGACCUGAGAGGGUGAUCGGCCACACUGGGACUGAGACACGGCCCAGACUCCUACGGGAGGCAGCAGUAGGGAAUCUUCCGCAAUGGACGAAAGUCUGACGGAGCAACGCCGCGUGAGUGAAGAAGGUUUUCGGAUCGUAAAACUCUGUUGUCAGGGAAGAACAAGUACGGUAGUAACUGCCCGUACCUUGACGGUACCUGGCCAGAAAGCCACGGCUAACUACGUGCCAGCCGCCGCGGUAAUAC
rnacentral:rRNA from 1 species